AGCGAACGCUGGUGGCAGGCUUAACACAUGCAAGUCGAGCGGGCGUAGCAAUACGUCAGCGGCAGACGGGUGAGUAACACGUGGGAACGUACCUUUUGGUUCGGAACAACACAGGGAAACUUGUGCUAAUACCGAAUAAGCCCUUACGGGAAAGAUUAUCGCCGAAAGAUCGGCCCGCGUCUGAUUAGCUUGUUGGUGAGGUAACGGCUCACCAAGGCGACGAUCAGUAGCUGGUCNGAGAGGAUGAUCAGCCACACUGGGACUGAGACACGGCCCAGACUCCUACGGGAGGCAGCA
rnacentral:rRNA from 1 species